rnacentral:rRNA from 1 species
CCCUUUGUGACAUACCUAUAACUGUUGCUUCGGCGGGUAGGGUCUCCGCGACCCUCCCGGCCUCCCGCCUCCGGGCGGGUCGGCGCCCGCCGGAGGAUAACCAAACUCUGAUUUAACGACGUUUCUUCUGAGUGGUACAAGCAAAUAAUCAAAACUUUUAACAACGGAUCUCUUGGUUCUGGCAUCGAUGAAGAACGCAGCGAAAUGCGAUAAGUAAUGUGAAUUGCAGAAUUCAGUGAAUCAUCGAAUCUUUGAACGCACAUUGCGCCCGCCAGCAUUCUGGCGGGCAUGCCUGUUCGAGCGUCAUUUCAACCCUCAAGCUCUGCUUGGUGUUGGGGCCCUACAGCUGAUGUAGGCCCUCAAAGGUAGUGGCGGACCCUCCCGGAGCCUCCUUUGCGUAGUAACUUUACGUCUCGCACUGGGAUCCGGAGGGACUCUUGCCGUAAAACCCCCCAAUUUUCCAAAGGUUGACCUCGGAUCAGGUAGGAAUACCCGCUGAACUUAAGCAUAUCAAUA